AGAAGAAGAGCGAGAAGUGAAGUGGGUAAGCAAAAGAGAAAAGCGAAGAAAGAUCUUUUGAUGUUUUGCAAACGGUGAAGAAAGUAGAGAAAAUUGUGAUAAAGUUUGGUUAUUUGACACAUUAUUAUGCGUUUCUUUGUUGCAUCAAAAAGAAACAAAAGUUUGUUUUUGGGGUCUUUGAAAGUUUGGUUUGGUAAUCAGGAACUGGUAGUGUAAUUAAUGAGAAGCUUAAAAUUUGCAGAGAUUUAAUGGGAGAAGGGAGAAGAUUUUAAUGGAUUGGAGGAGGCGGCAAAACAUGAAAAAGAUUGAAUUGUUUUUAUAUUUGUUUGGACUUUGGACAUUGGGAACCAAAAAUGUGAAAGCAAGUGGGGGUUUAUAUACUUAUAGUUUAGUUCACU
rnacentral:lncRNA from 1 species